rnacentral:sRNA from 1 species
CUGCAUCUGAACCCUGGUGCUGGAUACACAGGCAGCAGCCAGCUCUGAGCUUCUGAGAACCUGGUCAUUGAAGGGAUAGUCUCCCGCUAUGCUGGGCCUGGCAGCUAGAAAUCCAGCUGUGCUAGGAGGGGUGAGCAGGGCUCAGUGCACCUGCUCUGCAGAGCAAUGUGGGAGGAGUCAGUGAAGCUGAAGAUGCAUACGUGCCCUGUGAUCUGGGAAUGCCACUCCCAGAAGACUUACUUGUGAUCCAUGCAAGAAUGUUUGUAGCGCCCCAUGAUUUGUAAUGGAAAACAAAAUUGGGAACAAUAGAAAUGUCCAUCUUUGAGAGGAAGAAACUCUGUGAUCACAUGUGGAGAAUGACCAAGUGGUGAAUACGAAUGAACCAGAGCGAGACCUAGUAGCCCGAACGAGCCCAGAUGUCAUGCUGAGUGAGCACAGGAAGAUGCGGGACACAUAGAAGGACAGCGUGUAUGUGUUCAAAGGCAUGCAGAGUGACGACAUAUGCUAUUUAAGGAUGCGUGUGGAUGGAGCAGAAAUGUUAACACACAUGGGAAUAACAAAUCACUACGUCCGAGACAGCGAUUUUGGGGAGCACACAGGGAGGGGACUUCAUCUUGGAGGAACGCACUAUUAGGCUGCCGUGACAGGUGUGUGGGUGUGGACCAUCUCUGUACCUUUGUAUAUGUCUGGAAUAUUGCAUAAUAAGUAAUAGCUUAAGAAAGAGAGAGAGACAGCCAGGGUGUGUGGCUGUGGUGUGUGUUGGGCUUAUUUUUAAUUCUCCCAUACCAGGAAAGGCGGUCUGGGGAGAGAGCGGCGAGCUGGUGUGUACUAAGCCGAUCCCUUGCCAGCCCACACACUUCUGGAACGAUGAGAACGGCAACAAGUACAGGAAGGCGUAUUUCUCCAAAUUCCCAGGUAUCUGGGCUCAUGGCGACUACUGCAGAAUCAACCCCAAGACCGGGGGCAUCAUCAUGCUUGGCCGGAGUGACGGCACCCUCAACCCCAACGGGGUGCGGUUCGGCAGCUCGGAAAUCUAUAACAUUGUAUACGCUCAACGGCAAGAAAGUGGAAGUUGCCGUCAAACAGAUCAUCGCUGGAAAAGCCGUGGAGCAAGGAGGUGCUUUCUCGAACCCCGAGACCCUGGAUCUGUACCGGGACAUCCCUGAGCUGCAGGGCUUCUGAGUCAGACUGGCUGGCGUGUCACUCAGCCGCACCCGUGUGCACUGUAACUUUUGUGUGCUCAAGAAAUUAUACAGAAACCUACAGCUGUUGUAAAAGGAUGCUGGCACCAAGUGUUCUGUAGGCUUGGGGAGGGAUCGUUUCUCUGUUUUGUUAAAUCUGGUGGGUACCUGGAUCUUCCACACGAGUGGGAUUCUGGCCUUCAGAGACCAGGAGGGAGUGUCUGGGCCGCACAUGUGGCACUGUGGUGAGAGUGUGUGUCUUUGCACACACAGUGCAGCGGGAACGGUGGGGCUGGCUGGUGCUGAAGACAGACACACUCCUGAGCCAAGGUCUUGUCUUCAACCUCCCCGUCCCGUUGUCCCAUUUUGCUCUGUGAAGGUGCAAAUCCCUUUCUUCCCUUCCCAUCUCAGGCUCUCCUGUUUUCCCUCAGGGUCCAGUAUGCCUUUGAGCUUUAGCUGUUACAAAGGAACCCCCGUGACUUGACACAGCUUUCACAGCUGGCUGCUAGGACCGGCGGGCUGGGUGUUCACGUGUGUCUGUGUCAUGGAUGCAAUGCAGGCCCUGGAGGACCGUGCGUCACCCGUCAACCAGAGCGUGCCUCCGGGCCAGCUUCCCUCCAAGGAAUGAGUGGAUUUCAUACAGGAUCUCUUUAUUGCACAGACUUUGAAUGGCUUUACAUGUUUCUAAUGUGAAUUAGGCAUGUGAAGCAGUGGGUGUCCACCCGUGUCCCUCAUGGGUGAGCCCUCCAGCUGUAAGCCCAGGCAGUGUGGUCACCGAGUGAGGACCCUCCUCACCAGGAACCGCAUCCCUGUGCUGCCUCCACCUGAGAGUUGCUAGGGGGUUCUUGUCGAGAUCAUGUCAUCAGCACCCCUAAGUCAAGUCACGGGUUUCCAUAGCCAGGCAGUUGGUAUGUACCAUUUAGUUCAGCGUAUGAACUUGUAUCUCUAAUCUGAUGUUCAUUUUUAUAUUUUUUGAAACUGAGCACAAUGAAAUCCUUUCUUGAAUCAUUUUCCUUUUGGAUUAUAAAAAUACGGGGGAAAGUGCCAUGAUGAAUUUUAUGCAAUAAAUGUAUAUAUGUGUGCACAUGCACCC